rnacentral:rRNA from 1 species
CAGUAGCCGCGGUAAUACGGAGGAUCCAAGCGUUAUCCGGAAUCAUUGGGUUUAAAGGGUCCGUAGGCGGUCUUGUAAGUCAGUGGUGAAAGCCCAUCGCUCAACGGUGGAACGGCCAUUGAUACUGCAGGACUUGAAUUAUUGGGAAGUAACUAGAAUAUGUAGUGUAGCGGUGAAAUGCUUAGAGAUUACAUGGAAUACCAAUUGCGAAGGCAGGUUACUACCAAUUGAUUGACGCUGAUGGACGAAAGCGUGGGUAGCGAACAGGAUUAGAUAUCCCUGUAGUCCCUGUCUCUUAUAA